rnacentral:rRNA from 1 species
GUUUGAUCAUGGCUCAGGAUGAACGCUGGCGGCGUGCUUAACACAUGCAAGUCGAGCGAAGCACUUAAGAAUGAUUCUUCGGAUGAAGACUUUUGUGACUGAGCGGCGGACGGGUGAGUAACGCGUGGGUAACCUGCCUCAUACAGGGGGAUAACAGUUAGAAAUGGCUGCUAAUACCGCAUAAGACCACAGUACUGCAUGGUACAGUGGUAAAAACUCCGGUGGUAUGAGAUGGACCCGCGUCUGAUUAGGUAGUUGGUGAGGUAACGGCCCACCAAGCCGACGAUCAGUAGCCGACCUGAGAGGGUGACCGGCCACAUUGGGACUGAGACACGGCCCAGACUCCUACGGGAGGCAGCAGUGGGGAAUAUUGCACAAUGGGCGAAAGCCUGAUGCAGCGACGCCGCGUGAAGGAUGAAGUAUUUCGGUAUGUAAACUUCUAUCAGCAGGGAAGAAAAUGACGGUACCUGACUAAGAAGCCCCGGCUAACUACGUGCCAGCAGCCGCGGUAAUACGUAGGGGGCAAGCGUUAUCCGGAUUUACUGGGUGUAAAGGGAGCGUAGACGGCUGUGCAAGUCUGAAGUGAAAGGCAUGGGCUCAACCUGUGGACUGCUUUGGAAACUGUGCAGCUAGAG